GGAGGUCAGCGUGCGCUGGCUGCGACAUGUGUCACCGCAUUGCUCACCAGGGUUGACUCAAUUGAUCUGGCUGGUUGGGCAGAUGUCCCUUUCCUCCCUCACCACUCCAUGUGUGUCCCCUCUGAAGCUGCACCCUUGGUGGAAGAGGAUGGUCACCCCCCAUAGAAGGUAGACCACCCUUUGGUCAAGGGCAUACUGAUAGCUGCGCUCCCCUGCCAGCAGCUCCAGACUAGCUCCCAAGACCAUGGGCUUCAUGGGAUAAGGCAAUGUUUGCGGUUUGACUGCUUUUC
rnacentral:snRNA from 1 species